GAAAAUUGGACCUUCCUAGCGUACUUGUGGAGAUGCAGGCUGAGGAGGAGUGGAGUCAUGCCCAGCAUGAUGAGAACAUCUGGUUGCUCCUCAGCAAGGUCCCUCUCUAUCUCCCCACACAUCCACCAACCACUGGAACACAUCUCCAAAGUUCUGCUGGACCAGCUCAGCUUCCCCUCAGAAGAAGUGCUGCCACCUGCCAGAUGAAGGAGCCUUUUGAGAGGCAGCUGGCAUCGUGAUUGGACUGUACUUUGGUCUGUUCCAGUCCAGCUUCAGCUCCAGAGACGGCAGGCGGGACGAGUCAACGGAGGCCGGGUGGACGAAGACAUGAAGCUGAGUAUAAUCCAGAAAACAACAGAGGAGGAGUGCAGGGCCAGAACAACCAGAGUAGCAUCGUAUGUCUCUUAGAAAACAUCAUAGUAUAGCCUUUGGUAUGAAAAAACACCAUCAUAUACAUCGUAUAUUGUACAAAUAACAAGUCAAAGGAAAGAGACAUACAGUGGAAUUGUAGUAAUUGUGGGCUGACUGAUUUACUGAUUAUCAGUAUUUUAUUUUUUACUGAUUUAUGGUAAUAAAUACAUUUAAAAAUGGCGCUACUUUGGCUCUGAACCUUUAUCUACC
ensembl:lncRNA